rnacentral:lncRNA from 1 species
CCUGGGGAAGGGAGUUGUUGAGGAUUCCCCAGAAGGUUACACAGGUCCAUGAAUCAUUCACUGGCACUUGGUAAGGUAAUGAAGAAACAAAGACUCUCGCUUGGAAGCCAGAUCCCACAACAGUCAGCUUCUGUACUGGACUUGAUUGCUUUGACCACCUGUUGUUGCUGAUGAAGCACCACUGUCCCUGCUGCUGGUGUCACCUGUCCACUAAGGCAGAAAAGGGAGGUAUUUGAUGUAAUAAUCUCAUGGCAAAAUUUCCUGGCCUAAAAUGCCACAAUUCUAAAUUCAGGCACAUGACGCUGUAUGAUAUAUGUUAGAUCCACACAUUUCUGUCCUAGGGUGGUGUUGCAUUCAAUAAACCCAAAUGAAGCCUAACAUAUAGUUUAAAAUAAAGAAUAUUCAAAGCAUCCAAAUAAAUAAUCCACAUCAUCAUUUACAAAAAUACUCAUUCUGCUUCCACACAUUUUCCUUACUCUCUGUGGCU